rnacentral:siRNA from 1 species
CUGCAGAGGGUGUCGAUCGACA